ensembl:lncRNA
AUGUCCAGUCCAAACCGCCAAUCUCACUCUGUCCUGUUCUCUUCCAGCCCAUCCCGAUCGAAGGCGCGGGCGAAACGUGCAGAGGGCUUUCAAACAGCGACGGGAAUAAUGACUCGGUGGAAGCUGCGCAGACCUGUACGGAAAUGUCUCCGGCGCUAUCGUCAGGAAGAGCUCUGUGGAUUCCGGCACCAAGGCCUCGAACGCGUCCGACGUCUCAAACUCCUUCGUUCCUUCCCCCGCGCCGCUCCCGACAUUCGUCACGCAGCGGGAGAGGGUCAGCAGUGUGAGGAAGCCCAGCUCUGGGCGCACAAGCGACACACUCCUCUUUAGAGGGGUGCGAAGCCCAAGCUCGUGAUGCGCCAACGCCGCGUCGAAACGGGGAUGGAGAAACGCAGCCGCGUACGAAGGGCAUGACAGCCACUGACAGCAGAUAUCACAAACAGACCUCUCAGUUCAUGGGAGAAAGGUGAGGUAAGGUAAAACGCGGUAAGCUAUGGUGGUGCCGGGUUCGCCAGCCCCCUUACCUUUGCACGUGCGGGAGGAAGCGGUGUCGGGAGUGACGGCUCCUUCUGAGUCAUUAGUAUUCACAUCACAAGGAGCGGCGGCGAGGACGACAAGCUGGCGGGCAGGAGCUCGGCCCCGGCACCGCUGCCGCUGCUGAGGUAGACCUUCCCUCCACGCAGCUCAGGUUCGAGCAGCAUUCAUCCACCCACCCCCCAUCAAAACCCCCACCCACCUCCUCCUGGUGCUCUCCCCUCUGCCCUCCGCCAACAGCGAGGGGCGCUUCACCCGCAGCCCCCCGUCCCUUGUGGAUGUCUGGAUGUCCUUCUGUUUGUUGCGCUCGUGGAGGAUGGUUCUCCCAAGUCGGCUCUAAGGUACCGAGGAGUCUGACUCUUCCGUUGCCGUGGCAAUGGGGGGGAGAGAGAGAGCGCGAGCGAGCGAGGGAACGAGAGGGAGAGGGGAGCGGAGGAAGGAGGUCCGCUCCUGAAAUCACAGCCGCACACCCCCCUGCAUUUCUUCUCAUUGGACCCCCCCCCCCACACACACACACACACACCCCACACCACCCCGCUAGCACCACACCCCCCCGACCAACUUGAAGCCCCGCCUUCCUGUGGCGGUCUGGCGCAGUCUUUACCGCCCACGUCUCUGAUUAAAUUGUGAGCGCUUCAUCCCUCACUCUUGCGCUCUCCGUCUCUCCAUUUCCCAUCUCUCCCUGCUCCAUUCUGCUUUUUACCUCAAUGAUCUGAUUGACAGAAACCCCACCGAAGCCCAUUGAGCCACAAACACUUUCCCUCUCAUGUUCCGUGCCCCCUCUCUCCGGUGCGUCUCUCCCUGCAUCCCUCACUGCCUCUUGCCCGACUUUUGUGAAUAGAGCAGCGAAGAGGGGGAAACAUGAAUGAAAAAUACAUGAAUGCAGGGCUACCACAGGGGCAUGUGGCUCACGCAGUGCCUCCGUCAAAACCCGCGCGCACAUUCCGCCCGUCUUUACACCCAUAACAUUUCACAGCUGUGUUUUUGCACGGCCUGGGAAUGCGUCCCCUGUCAGACAUAUGAGUAAAACAUCUGGUGACAAUGUGCACUAAUGUCAGAUGGUCACGCUCCUGCGAAGGGCUCCCGAGGGUGGCAGGUCUCCGUGUUCCCGCUCCACCUGCCCGAGCCUGCUGUCAAUGCGCAGGGGGGCCAUGUGGCAGGAAUACAUCCUGGUAAUUUCUCCCCCACAUCAUCAAUUUGUCUCUGCUAAUUACCCAGUUACAGCUCCCUCGUGACACCGGCAUUUUGGGUACCGCACGUCAGGGCGGCGCCGCACAACCUAACGCAAGGGUUAGGUCACUUUGUGCCUACGUUAUUUAAUUACCAAUUAAAAUAAAAAUCUGUUUAAAUUAAUUACUAGUUCCGUC